rnacentral:rRNA from 1 species
AGUAACGCGUGGGUAACCUGCCUUAUACAGGGGGAGUAACAGUCAGAAAUGGCUGCUAAUACCGCAUAAGCGCACAGAGCUGCAUGGCUCAGUGUGAAAAACUACCGGUGGUAUAAGAUGGACCCGCGUUGGAUUAGCUAGUUGGUGGGGUAACGGCCCACCAAGGCGACGAUCCAUAGCCGGCCCUGAGAGGGUGAACGGCCACAUUGGGACUGAGACACGGCCCAGACUCCUACGGGAGGCAGCAUG